rnacentral:rRNA from 1 species
GCAAAAAAGCUAGCCUGAAAAUAAACGUAAAUCUCAGCCAUAAUAAACAACCAAACCCCUCCCCCAAAUAAAACAUUUUUCCUCCCCAGUAUAGGAGAUAGAACAGGACCACAGAGCAAUAGAAAAAGUACCGCAAGGGAAAGCUGAAAGAGAAGUGAAACAACGCAGUUAAGCAAAAAAAAGCAGAGAUUAAUGCUCGUACCUUUUGCAUCAUGGUUUAGCAAGAACCCCCGAGCAAAGAGAACUAUAGUUCGACACCCCGAAACCAGGAGAGCUACCCCAGAGCAGCCCAAAGGGGCCAACCCGUCUCUGUGGCAAAAGAGUGGGAAGACUCUCGGGUAGAGGUGAUAGACCUACCGAGCCUGGUUAUAGCUGGUUGCUUAGGAAAUGAAUAUAAGUUCAACCCUGUUUCUCCCUAAAACUGCAGCAUGCAAAAGCACCAGUAGGACACAGGAGCUAGUCAAAGGAGGUACAGCUCCUUUGAAAAAGAACACAACCUUUACAGGAGGGAAAAGACCAUAUACUACAAGGGACCCUUCCUCAGUGGGCCUGAAAGCAGCCACCUGAAAAGAUAGCGUUAAAGCUCAAGAAGAAUCUUACCGUUAAUUAAUACAAACAGAUCCCGACCCCCUACAAAUACUAAGCCCCCCUAUUAAAAUAGAGAAGACAAUGCUAAAAUUAGUAAUAAGAGGGAAAGCCCCUCUCCCCGCACAGUCGUACGCCAGGCAGGACCCCCCACUGGCAAGUAACGGACCCAAAGAGGGCGACGCAACAUAACCAAAAAAACAAGCAGCCCCUGCCCAAGUAUCCGUUACCCCGACACUGGAGUGCGCCCAGGAAAGACUAAAAGGAAAAGAAGGAACUCGGCAAACCUAAACCUCGCCUGUUUACCAAAAACAUCGCCUCUCGCUAACAAUAGAAGUAUUAGAGGUCCCGCCUGCCCUGUGACAUAAAUGUUUAACGGCCGCGGUAUUUUAACCGCGCGAAGGUAGCGUAAUCACUUGUCUUUUAAAUGGAGACCUGUAUGAAUGGCAUAACGAGGGUUUAACUGUCUCCUUUUCCAAGUCAAUGAAAUUGAUCUGCCCGUGCAGAAGCGGGCCUGAAAACAUAAGACGAGAAGACCCUAUGGAGCUUUAGGCAAACACUCAAGCGACGCCAGGCCCCUCCCCCUAAGAGGAGACAAAACAAGUGCUUCUGAGUGAAAUGCCUUCGGUUGGGGCGACCGUGGAGGAAAGUAAAGCCUCCAAGAAGAACAAGGAAAACCCUUGAGUUAAGAAAAACACCUCUAAACAACAGAAAGUCUGACCAUAAAUGACCCAGAAAACAUCUGAUCAACGAACUAAGUUACCCUAGGGAUAACAGCGCAAUCCUUUCCCAGAGUCCAUAUCGACGAAAGGGCUUACGACCUCGAUGUUGGAUCAGGACAUCCUAAUGGUGCAGCCGCUAUUAAGGGUUCGUUUGUUCAACGAUUAACAGUCCUACGUGAUCUGAGUUCAGACCGGAGUAAUCCAGGUCGGUUUCUAUCUAUGAACCACCUAUCCCUAGUACGAAAGGACCGGGGUAGGGAGGCCUAGGCACACAGCAAGCCUCAUCCCCACCCGCUGAUACCAUAUAAAACGGGUAACUGGAAACCGCGCCACACCAAAGAUAAUGGCAC